CGGACUCCUUCAGUCUAGUUAGUCAGGAAGUAACAUGGUUGAUCAUGCCGCUAAGCGUUGAUUUUCUCAACCGAUUUGUUUUGGACAAAAUUGUAGAUGUGAUAGAUGAAUUGGAGAAAGACCAUCAUUACGGCUCAUCGGUCAAAAACAUCUCAUCGCACUUCAUCUUGAAAUAUGAAACACGACUGGACGACUUCUGCCUAGGCGAUAUCGAGGCAUCGGUCAUUAGGGCACUGCAUAUCAAGAUUGUUCAGAACAGUCUCCGUCUGAAUGAGUACGGACGUUUCGAGAGAAACAACAUUGAGAUCUGAUGUCUAACACACUGACCCAGCCAAACAGAGUGACCUACAGCUUAGCAAGUAUAGGGUCAGAUUUAUGGUUCGCAAUGAUGACCCCAUGGAUGUCAGUUCUGCUACAAGUGACCUGGCUAAAGUUCAACAUAUUGUCUGCACUGCUAUCGCUGAGGCCUGGGCUACACUCUACCAGUUUUUAUCUCCUAUUUGCCAAGCUUGAUAUCAUCCAGUGGCAGGUGAGCACUUGGACACUCCUAAAUAUUUGGCUAGCGUCUAAGAGGAAAUUGUUUGGGACUCUUCUGUCUAUGUUGUGUGUUAACAAUUUCUUGUAGAAACCUUCGUUAAGAGAGAAAUCUAGUUUGAUGACUGGUGUCCAUCUAGUUUCACGGGCAGCUCUGUGAGGCUUGGCAGUAGAGAAAGAAGAAAUGAAUAGUGACUGAUGUCCAAGUUGAGGUCAUGUUUUAAAGAAGGGUUGAUUAGCCACUGAUGCUGUUAAAUACUGGAGUACAGACCAUGAGCAAGCUCAAAUAAUUGAUAUUUGUUUUUUUGCCACUUAAAAGAAACAUAAAUUGAAAAUAUACGAAUGCGAAAUUUCAUGUAAAUGUUUACAAAUUCUUAAACAAUUAAUAAAAAAGUUAAGCG
rnacentral:sRNA from 1 species